rnacentral:rRNA from 1 species
AGCGAACGCUGGCGGCAGGCCUAACACAUGCAAGUCGAACGAAGUCUUCGGACUUAGUGGCGGACGGGUGAGUAACACGUGGGAACGUGCCUUUAGGUUCGGAAUAACUCAGGGAAACUUGUGCUAAUACCGAAUGUGCCCUUCGGGGGAAAGAUUUAUCGCCUUUAGAGCGGCCCGCGUCUGAUUAGCUAGUUGGUGAGGUAAAGGCUCACCAAGGCUACGAUCAGUAGCUGGUCUGAGAUGAUGACCAGCCACAUUGGAACUGAGACACGGCCCAAACUCCUACGGGAGGCAGCAGUGGUGAAUCUUGCGCAAUGGGCGUAUGCCUGACGCAGCCAUGCCGCGUGGAUGAUGAAGGUCUUAGGAUUGUAAAAUCCUUUCACCGGUGAAGAUAAUGACUGUAGCCGGAGAAGAAGCCCCGGCUAACUUCGUGCCAGCCGCCGCGGUAAUAC